UGGGGAAUUGUUCGCAAUGGGCGCAAGCCUGACGACGCAACGCCGCGUGGAGGAUGAAGGUCUUCGGAUUGUAAACUCCUGUUGACCGGGACGAAUGGGCGACGACCUAACACGUCGGAGCAGUGACGGUACCGGUUGAGGAAGCCACGGCUAACUCUGUGCCAGCAGCCGCGGUAAUACAGAGGUGGCAAGCGUUGUUCGGAAUUACUGGGCGUAAAGGGCGCGUAGGCGGCCUUCUCAGUCGGACGUGAAAUCCCCAGGCUUAACUUGGGAACUGCGUCCGAUACUGGAUGGCUUGAGUGCGGGAGAGGGAUGUGGAAUUCCAGGUGUAGCGGUGAAAUGCGUAGAUAUCUGGAGGAACACCGGUGGCGAAGGCGGCAUCCUGGACCGACACUGACGCUGAUGCGCGAAAGCCAGGGGAGCAAACGG
rnacentral:rRNA from 1 species